AUGUUAUGGAAAGAUAUUAAGGAUGUGUUUGAUAUAGAAGAGAAGAGAGAGGAAAGGGUUAGAAGAUGGAUGGAUCCUAAGUUGGGGAGGUUUUUUAAUGUUGUUGAAGCUCUUAGUUUGUUCUCUUUGGCAAUGAAUUGUAUAAAAGAACAAUCUUUGUUAAGACCAACAAUGGGAGAAGUUGUUCUUAGUUUUUCCCUUCUCACUCAACAUUCUCCUACUUUGUUAGAGAGGUCUUGUAUUUAUGGAUCAGAUGUUGAGGUUAUAGCUGGAACGGUUACUUCAAUCAUAGGUCGUUGA